UUUUUCUGAGCUAAAAAAGGUUUUAAACCUUUCUUCAUAGCUAAAAUGUUCCAUACUGGUUUAUUAAUUUUGUAGCCAGCCUCUGAACUCUUUCUAGUGUCAUAAUAUCCUUCUUUAGUUACUAACGUCCUUGACUUUUUGUAAAAAAACAAAAAACAAACACAAAACCCCCCCACAAAACUUACUUGCAGUAAGCUCGAGUUAAGUGAAAAUGAUCUUCUUAAAACAAUUCUAGUUACCUUAACCCCUUAAGGACGGAGCCAAUUGUACAAGUUCAAAACAAAAUGUAAAAAAAACCUGGAAUUUGCGCAAUAUGUUGUUCAACCACAAUUCGCCUCUUUCAUAUUAAGUAAAC